rnacentral:rRNA from 1 species
CCUACGGGCGGCAGCAGUGGGGGAUAUUGCACAAUGGGGGGAACCCUGAUGCAGCGACGCCGCGUGUGGGAAGACGGUCCUCUGGAUUGUAAACCACUGUCCCCAGGGACGAAAAUGACGGUACCUGGGGAGGAAGCUCCGGCUAACUACGUGCCAGCAGCAGCGGUAAUACGUAGGGAGCGAGCGUUGUCCGGAAUUACUGGGUGUAAAGGGAGCGUAGGCGGGGAUGCAAGUUGGGGGUCAAAACUACCGGCUCAACUGGUAGUCGCACUCAAAACUGCAGCUCUUGAGUGAAGUAGAGGCAGGCGGAAUGCGUAGUGUAGCGGUGAAAUGCGUAGAUAUUAGGAGGAACACCAGUGGCGAAGGCGGCCUGCUGGGCUUUUACUGACGCUGAGGCUCGAAAGUGUGGGGAGCAAACAGGAUUAGAUACCCUGGUAGUC